UAAUUUGAGAGUUUGAUCCUGGCUCAGGACGAACGCUGGCGGCGUGCCUAAUACAUGCAAGUCGAACGAACUCUGGUAUUGAUUGGUGCUUGCAUCAUGAUUUACAUUUGAGUGAGUGGCGAACUGGUGAGUAACACGUGGGAAACCUGCCCAGAAGCGGGGGAUAACACCUGGAAACAGAUGCUAAUACCGCAUAACAACUUGGACCGCAUGGUCCGAGCUUGAAAGAUGGCUUCGGCUAUCACUUUUGGAUGGUCCCGCGGCGUAUUAGCUAGAUGGUGGGGUAACGGCUCACCAUGGCAAUGAUACGUAGCCGACCUGAGAGGGUAAUCGGCCACAUUGGGACUGAGACACGGCCCAAACUCCUACGGGAGGCAGCAGUAGGGAAUCUUCCACAAUGGACGAAAGUCUGAUGGAGCAACGCCGCGUGAGUGAAGAAGGGUUUCGGCUCGUAAAACUCUGUUGUUAAAGAAGAACAUAUCUGAGAGUAACUGUUCAGGUAUUGACGGUAUUUAACCAGAAAGCCACGGCUAACUACGUGCCAGCAGCCGCGGUAAUACGUAGGUGGCAAGCGUUGUCCGGAUUUAUUGGGCGUAAAGCGAGCGCAGGCGGUUUUUUAAGUCUGAUGUGAAAGCCUUCGGCUCAACCGAAGAAGUGCAUCGGAAACUGGGAAACUUGAGUGCAGAAGAGGACAGUGGAACUCCAUGUGUAGCGGUGAAAUGCGUAGAUAUAUGGAAGAACACCAGUGGCGAAGGCGGCUGUCUGGUCUGUAACUGACGCUGAGGCUCGAAAGUAUGGGUAGCAAACAGGAUUAGAUACCCUGGUAGUCCAUACCGUAAACGAUGAAUGCUAAGUGUUGGAGGGUUUCCGCCCUUCAGUGCUGCAGCUAACGCAUUAAGCAUUCCGCCUGGGGAGUACGGCCGCAAGGCUGAAACUCAAAGGAAUUGACGGGGGCCCGCACAAGCGGUGGAGCAUGUGGUUUAAUUCGAAGCUACGCGAAGAACCUUACCAGGUCUUGACAUACUAUGCAAAUCUAAGAGAUUAGACGUUCCCUUCGGGGACAUGGAUACAGGUGGUGCAUGGUUGUCGUCAGCUCGUGUCGUGAGAUGUUGGGUUAAGUCCCGCAACGAGCGCAACCCUUAUUAUCAGUUGCCAGCAUUAAGUUGGGCACUCUGGUGAGACGCCGCCGGUGACAAACCGGAGGAAGGUGGGGAUGACGUCAAAUCAUCAUGCCCCUUAUGACCUGGGCUACACACGUGCUACAAUGGAUGGUACAACGAGUUGCGAACUCGCGAGAGUAAGCUAAUCUCUUAAAGCCAUUCUCAGUUCGGAUUGUAGGCUGCAACUCGCCUACAUGAAGUCGGAAUCGCUAGUAAUCGCGGAUCAGCAUGCCGCGGUGAAUACGUUCCCGGGCCUUGUACACACCGCCCGUCACACCAUGAGAGUUUGUAACACCCAAAGUCGGUGGGGUAACCUUUUAGGAACCAGCCGCCUAAGGUGGGACAGAUGAUUAGGGUGAAGUCGUAACAAGGUAGCCGUAGGAGAACCUGCGGCUGGAUCACCUCCUUU
rnacentral:rRNA from 1 species